GCUGGCUUGAGAGCUCUAAAAUUUUCGGUGGCUCCCUCAUUUGUGUGUGUGGCUGCUGUGCUGUUGCGACUAGUGUGUGCUAUUGCAGCGGCGCUUCGUGGAGGACGUCGUUAUCUGUCUCUGAUCUGGGGCUAUUCUUGAUGCGAUCACAGUUGUGAUGCUGUUGAACUCGUGCUCAAGAGUGGUUGGAGUCGAGGCUAGCGUCAAGAUCCACUGUUUAUUCUGUGGCAUUGGUGGCUAGUGUAGUGUGUUGGAUGUCUAUUCUCGCUUGAGAUUUGGUGUUGCACUGGUGGUGCGGCAAUUGAAGCCGCCGAUGCUGGUUUUUUCUAAGCCGAUUCUCAUUUGGUGGAUGAAGUGCUCAUUUGUUCUGUGGUGCAGCAACCGGAUUCUGUGGUAUUCACGUCGCGGAGUGCGGCGGUGUGAGUGCGUUGUAGUGGUAGAAUUUGUUGCUAAUUUUUAGUCAUAGCUUGUUGACAGUGUUUGGAGGUACGUAGCGCUACAGCGGAAGAUUCUGUCUAAUAUAGCUAGCUUCGCAAGAGAAGGGCUAGUGUUAGUUAAUUUCCAUAAUGUCCCUUUGUAAUUUGAGUCAUUUGCUGGUAUGAGUUGCGAAUAGCUUGUCCAAAUGGUGAUGAGAUUUGGAUGCUGGUAUCUCAUAUGGAAUUUGGUGUUGCCGCACCACAGCUAUAUUCAGCUCAAGGAGGAUGACAAAGAAGUUGUCUGCAUUUCUACCGUAUGCUAAGUGGAGUAGGUCAGAUUGAGUUCUACUAAACACCUUUUCGCAAGCACAACAAGAUUCACGCUGUCAACGAGCAUUUUUGCGACGGACUUUCCAUUUUUUCCCUUCUUUUGUGUUGCGGGACCUCUACGAACAGUAGGUGUCGGACUGGAUCGAGCUGUUACAAGUCAAAGAGUGGAAGGUUCAAGUCAAAGGUGGUCUACAUUUGGACGAGAGGCGGAGUUGGAGGCAUUGAGUCGUCUCGAACUCGAUGUUUGUCACUUGACAAGGCUUUUGCGCUCAAAGAAUUGGUGGCACGAUAGAAGAAGGUAUAGGUUGUGACGAUCUUGGAGUGGACAUUGCGAAGUUUCUAUCACAUUGGAUUUAUUGUGAAGGCAUCAAUGCGAAUCGGACGUCGGCUGUAGAAGUAAUAGGACUGCAUACUUCACGAACAAAGGCGAGGUAUCACGCUUGAUAUUGCCCAACCAUCGAACUUGUUAAUCUCGAAUCUACGCGCACACUGUUCUUAUGACUGUAUAACGGAGGUGUUGAUUUAUUGGUAUUCUUCAAUGUUUGUUACCAGUUACAAAAAUUGC